GUUAGUUAUUUUAAAUUUCACCUGAGCUUUUUUUAAAAAUUCCAUUCUUUUUCUGAAUACAAGAAUUAUGAUUUGCCUUUCCUAUGAAUUAAUGAAACCAAAUGCAGUAAAAUUUACUUCUAAGACUUCUCAAGAGCCACAGACUGAUGUGUUUUGUCCUACCCCAAUGACUGAUUUGGGUGGAAAAUAAUAAAGAGGAGAAGUUCUAAUAUGGCCUCAAGAUCCUGAAUGGGAAGAACCUUGAUCGGAAUAUGUCAGACUGGAUAUCGCUGACCAGGAAGAGCCCGUGUGAGCCCUGAACACUUCACCUUAAAAGCAGGAGAAAAUGGCUCAGAUGAAAAUCCAGACCUGGAGUCAUUUCCCCUUAAGUGCAGCAGGACACAGCUGCCCACCCUGGUGGAUGCUGAGAUUCCAGACUGAGUGCCUUGUAUCUGUUGAUGAAGGAAGAAUGACAGAAGUCCAAGACGAGUGGAAAUACAUGGAAAC